UACGGGGGGGGCAAGCGUUGUUCGGAAUUACUGGGCGUAAAGGGCUCGUAGGCGGCCAACUAAGUCAGACGUGAAAUCCCUCGGCUUAACCGGGGAACUGCGUCUGAUACUGGAUGGCUUGAGUUUGGGAGAGGGAUGCGGAAUUCCAGGUGUAGCGGUGAAAUGCGUAGAUAUCAGGAGGAACACCGGUGGCGAAGGCGGCUUUCUGGACAGUAACUGACGCUGAGGCGCGAAAGCUAGGGGAGCAAACAGG
rnacentral:rRNA from 1 species